rnacentral:lncRNA from 1 species
CCAACAUCCACUGAUGGAGGAGAAGAAAGAUGGAGGACGGGAGUGCCAGCAUCUACCAAUGGAGGAGAAGAAAUACUUUUAUUAACCAAAACAAUGUAAGUCAAACCUCUCGUUUACACAGAAAGAAACUGGACACGUUUAUUGUAAAAAAUGACUUUCUAAAAAUGCUUGUAAAAUGUUGGACUUGAACACCAGAAUCCACUGAUGGAGAACAAGGAAGAUGGAAGAGUACCAUCAUCUACCAAUGGAGGAGGAGGAGGAGGAGGAGGAGAAAAAUGGGGGAGCACCAGCAUCCAAAAGUGUCCCACAAUCAGCCCCAGGAGGAGAUCUCAGCAGUGGAAAGAAAGACUAUUAACCAAAACAAUGUAAGUAAAACUUCUCAUUUCCUCAGAAAGACACUGAUCACAUGUUUAAUGUAUAAAUAUAUGCCACGUUUUACUAACACCUAUAAAAUGUUGGAGAGGAACGCCAACAUCCACUGAUGGAGGAGAAGAAAGAUGGAGGACGGGAGUGCCAGCAUCUACCAAUGGAGGAGAAGAAAUACUUUUAUUAACCAAAACAAUAAUUCACUGAUUGAGAACAAGGAAGAUGGAAGAGUACCAUCAUCUACCAAUGGAGGAGGAGGAGGAGGAGAAAAAUGGGGGAGCACCAGCAUCCAAAAGUGUCCCACAAUCAGCCCCAGGAGGAGAUCUCAGCAGUGGAAAGAAAGACUAUUAACCAAAACAAUGUAA